rnacentral:rRNA from 1 species
AAAUUGAAGAGUUUGAUCAUGGCUCAGAUUGAACGCUGGCGGCAGGCCUAACACAUGCAAGUCGAACGGUAACAGGAAGCAGCUUGCUGCUUUGCUGACGAGUGGCGGACGGGUGAGUAAUGUCUGGGAAACUGCCUGGUGGAGGGGGAUAACUACUGGAAACGGUAGCUAAUACCGCAUAACGUCGCAAGACCAAAGAGGGGGACCUUCGGGCCUCUUGCCAUCGGAUGUGCC